CCUACGGGUGGCAGCAGUGGGGAAUAUUGGACAAUGGGCGAAAGCCUGAUCCAGCCAUGCCGCGUGUGUGAAGAAGGCCUUCGGGUGGUAAAGCACUUUCAGUGGGGAAGAAAGCCUUGGGGCUAAUACCCUCGAGGAAGGACAUCACCCACAGAAGAAGCACCGGCUAACUCCGUGCCAGCAGCCGCGGUAAUACGGAGGGUGCGAGCGUUAAUCGGAAUUACUGGGCGUAAAGCGCGCGUAGGCGGUCUGAUAAGCCGGUUGUGAAAGCCCCGGGCUCAACCUGGGAACGGCAUCCGGAACUGUCAGGCUAGAGUGCAGGAGAGGAAGGUAGAAUUCCCGGUGUAGCGGUGAAAUGCGUAGAGAUCGGGAGGAAUACCAGUGGCGAAGGCGGCCUUCUGGACUGACACUGACGCUGAGGUGCGAAAGCGUGGGUAGCAAACAGGAUUAGAUACCCUAGUAGUC
rnacentral:rRNA from 1 species